rnacentral:rRNA from 1 species
GACGAACCGUGCGAACGUUGUUCGGAUUCACUGGGCUUAAAGGGCGCGUAGGCGGGUUGUCAAGUCAGGGGUGAAAGCCUCCAGCUCAACUGGAGAAGUGCCUUUGAUACUGAUGAUCUCGAGGGAGGUAGGGGCAUGUGGAACUUCCGGUGGAGCGGUGAAAUGCGUAGAUAUCGGAAGGAACGCCGGUGGCGAAAGCGACGUGCUGGACCUCUUCUGACGCUGAGGCGCGAAAGCUAGGGGAGCGAACGGG